ACCAGUGUGUCUGUCUGUCAUUCCCUUGCGUCGUAUCCUGGCUAUCCUAUCCUUCAACCCUGUCCUCCCGUGGAUAGCAGUCUCACAGAGGGACGGUCUGUGGCACAUGGCCUUGGGGUUUAGGGUUACCCUGAGGCAGCAUGACAUCAUUUUUUCCUUCUCUGGUUUUAUUUAUUUAUAGUGUGGCUCUGCCUGGUAUUACAGAGCAUUUGUCUGUGGGUCUCUGAAGAGAUGUGGAAACAGAAUUAUGGGGCCAUUCCUGGAGUUUCUCGCUGCAAUUUUGCCUUUUUCCCCAUUUCUAGCAAAUUUUCCUGUGCCCGACUUUGAGAAGCGAGAGGCUGACCAACCUAAGACAGCUCCUGGGAAGAAACAGGGCAGCAGUGAACACACAAACUUUGAGCUCUCAUGGGGACUCACUAGAACUCGUAUGGUGAAAUUGCAUUUCAUUGCCACCAAUGUCAGUCUCUAGCCACACCGGAGGAAGAGAACAGGAGAGUAUGAACCGAAAGAAAAACCACAACGUCUGCGGAACUGGCUCCCCUUCUCGCCAGUUAAUGAAGGUGAAACAAGGUUCCUCUCCACCGUCCUGGGGGAGCAGAAUGCGGCCCAGCCACCAGUGGCGCUUAUCUGAAGACUCCAGACUCCAGCACCCUUUACAACCGUGAGGCUGCAUGGGUUCAACCUCACAAACUGAUUCAACUGGCUAGUCUGAAAAAAACCUGAUGCACAGGAAAUGAAGGAGGCAGGGGGAGAUGGGCUCACUGCCCCAGGUCAACAAAUUCCUGGAAUAGAGCCCUGGGCCUUGGAACCUUCAUCUGGUGAUGGAUGGAGAUAGAGACAGAGACUCACACUGGAGCACUGGACCCAAUGAGGAGCAGAUGGAGGGAGAACACGAGCAAGGAUGUCAGGACCUCGAGGGGUGCACCCACCCACUGAGACAGUGGGGCUGAUCUAUUGGGAGCUCACCAAGGCCAGCUGGACUGUGACUGAAAAAGCAUGGAAUAAAACCGGACUCUCUGAACAUGGCGAACAAUGAGGGCUGAUGAGAAGCCAAGGACAAUGGCACGGGGUUUUGAUCCUACUUCAUGUUCCGGCUGGGUGGGAACCUAGCCAGUUUGGAUGUUCACCUUCCUAGACAUGGACAGAGGGGGGAGGACCUUGGACUUUCCACAGGGCAGGGAACCCUGACUGCUCUUUGGACUGGA